UACGUAGGGUGCGAGCGUUGUCCGGAAUUAUUGGGCGUAAAGAGCUUGUAGGCGGUUUGUCGCGUCUGCUGUGAAAAUCCGGGGCUCAACCCCGGACUUGCAGUGGGUACAGGCAGACUAGAGUGUGGUAGGGGAGACUGGAAUUCCUGGUGUAGCGGUGAAAUGCGCAGAUAUCAGGAGGAACACCGAUGGCGAAGGCAGGUCUCUGGGCCACUACUGACGCUGAGAAGCGAAAGCAUGAGGAGCGAACAGGAUUA
rnacentral:rRNA from 1 species